AGGACCCGUCUUGAAACACGGACCAAGGAGUCUAACAUGUGCGCGAGUCAUUGGGACUUGUAAAGCCUAAAGGCGCAAUGAAAGUGAAGGUCGUCCUUAGCGUCGACCUAGGGAGGAUGGCUCGCGUCACGAUGCGAGCCCGCACUCCCGGGGCGUCUCGUGCUCAUUACGAGCAGAGGCGCACCCAGAGCGUACACGUUGGGACCCGAAAGAUGGUGAACUAUGCCUGGUCAGGACGAAGUCAGGGGAAACCCUGAUGGAGGUCCGUAGCGAUUCUGACGUGCAAAUCGAUCGUCGGAACUGGGUAUAGGGGCGAAAGACUAAUCGAACCAUCUAGUAGCUGGUUCCCUCCGA
rnacentral:rRNA from 1 species